rnacentral:rRNA from 1 species
AUGAUGCAUUUGUACGCAUGUUCUAGCUGUUACUGCCGCUGCUCAUUUGGUAUUCUAAUUGGAAGCAAAAUGCAGUUGCUUCAGAGGUCAAAUCUGCAAUUUAUUCAGAGGCCAAAAGUGCAGUCACUCCGUCACACGCAAGCUGCUGCAAUUUCUUCAGAGGCCAAAACUGUCGUUGCUGCAACCGCUCCUCAGACGCGCGAGGCGAGCAGCGGCACGACGGCUCCCUCUGCCGCCCGAGCGGCAGGCACCGGCGGUAAUGAUGGGCGGCGGAUGCAGCCCGAGGUCGAGGCACAUGCGGCGAUGGUGGGCAGCGGAUCCAGCCUGAGGUCGAUGCAGCCGGCGGUAGUGGGCGCCUGGACUUCUCCCUCUCCCGUUUCUCUUCCUCUCACAGCCGGAGCUGGCUGA